UCUGAGCUGCACGGACAACGAUGAGGAUGAGUUCAGCAGCCUUUGGUCCACCACCUCCUCCUUCAUCAUCCUCUUCCUUCUUUCCCUCACGUACAGCACAGUGCUCAGCCUGGUCAAGAUGAAGCGGUGAAGAACACAUGAUGGACUGCAGAGAUAGAUGUGUCUAGAUUAGAAAGGAAAUGGUCUAGAAUGGUUAUGGCAUAGUGUUCUUUAGUAAUAAUGUUAUGUAUAUAUCCAAUACGUUAUUGAUUAUGAUUGAUUAGUAUUGUUGUUCUCAAUAUUAUACAAGCAUUGUGGUGAUAUGUUAUUUUUCAUUCAUUGAUUUAUAUUGUAUCCUGUGUAUCCUGUGAUGUUUGUGUGUCCUUUUUCACUUUAAUAAAGUCUAACUUUUA